CUUUUUGAAACAAAGGAUCCACUCCACAUCCAACCACACCUAAGAAAAUGCUUUGAAGGAAUUGCCAAGCUCACUUUUAAUCAUCAGAAAGAAAUUACCCACGUGGAGUCAGCAGAAAAUGAAAAAGUAGAGUUCGUGCUGCGAAUAAUUCCAGCCAAGUGCCAAGGGGCUAGUUGAGAAAUGGCUUCAUGAGG
rfam:Picoides pubescens contig40382, whole genome shotgun sequence.